rnacentral:lncRNA from 1 species
GUUCUUUGUCGAAAAUUUCUUCUUCCUUCUCGACUCGACGCUCAGCUCUCUCAGCCAACUAGCCACGUCAGGUCAGCCUCUCUCUCUCUCUCUCUCUCUCUCUCUCUCUCUCUCUCUCUCUCUCAUUUCGAUACCCUCAGUCUUAGCCUGUCAAUCUCAAAUCUUGGCGUCAACCACUUCGAAUCUUGAAGCGGGUGUUCGCUGUCAUCUCAGAUAGACCUCCUCUUCCUCAACCGACCCGGUAUGUGCUUUCCAAUUUAGUGAAAUUACGUUUGUUCUGUGAAAUUUAUAUCAGGGUUUAUGUAGAAAUUAGUUUGGGGCUUCAGUUUUAAUUAGGCUGUUGGAGUUUUCGGAUUAAAUAUAACCUUGAUGCCUAAAGGUUUACCUGUUGAUUAACAUCAUAUCUGCCUUAUUCUUUCCUUGCUUUUAUACACAUUGCUUUUUUAUUUUUAUUUUUUUUUAUGCCUAAUUUGGAGUCUUCGGAUUUGAUGCUUCUUGUGCGGUAUCCGUGGUUUACUGCUGACUGUAAUUGUGGGAUGUUAUUUGUCUGAAUGAGGAAUUGGGUUAUGUUCUGGUCUAUGGUAAAGGAGAUUUCAUCAUGGGAAUUCCGAGCCUCCGCAUUUAGAGAGUGCAUUUACACGCAUAUUGCAAAAUCUGGGACAUUCAAAUAAUCUUGUGACUGUGGGUAGGAGCUGUUCAAGAAUGGUUUUGUAUUUUUGUGAUCAUAACCAGAUUAAAUGAGUAAAGUGUUACUAAGUUAUGUUUUUAGGAUAUUGUGAAUUGGCCUGAAAUUGGGUACGUUCUCAGUCAGUGUAUUUGGAAUCUUAAUAGUAACUUUGAUUGGACCUGUAUCUUUUGGGAAAUUAGUGUUACAAACAUGGUUGUUCAUACUUAAAUUGUUGUUUAAUUGGCAUUUGGUCAUGCAUUAAUUGGACAGUCUGCUCCAAUAAUGAUUACAGACAACUGAAAAGAGACACUUACCAUAGCAAUGGGGAUUAAAUAUGUGAAAACCAUGUGGUUUAAUUUUGUAUGUAAUGCUCUUUUCCUCUAUCAAUGUAGAUGGAAUCUUAAUUUUGAAUAAUAACUUUCGUUUUGGCAUUAUUUUCAUGCAAUGCUGUCCCUGCAGCUCCCUCUGCUGCUCCUGAGAAAGAGAAGGGGAAGGAAGAAUACAAGGAUGUAAGUUUUAAUCAAUUGGUUCGACCUCUGUCAAUGUUGGCAUUUUUAAUCACCCAACUAUGCUUCUGGCUACUGGCUACAGAAGUCACUACUAGAAGAAAAUGAACAAAAUAUGCGUUGUCACUCAUAUGCAAUUGUGCUCUCAUCACUCUCAUCCUCAAUCGGGUGCUGGGCCUGAUUAUCAACUAUCUGGUCAUCGACCACUUGCAAAUCCAUGGGGUCCUCAAACAUUGGUCGAUUCAUGGGGUCCUCAUCUUCAACUGCUGGCGGAUUCACUAGGUCCUCGUCCUGUGGAAGAUUCUCAAAUGGAAUUGGAUGGGCUUCUACUGGCAGAUCAUCAAUCCGGUGCAAGUAAAAAUAUAUGGCGUCUAUGCUUUCAAUCAUCAUACUCAUGACCUCCUCCCAAGGCCUCUGAUUGACACCAUGAGUAUUCUCAUAUAAAACAAUAUUAUGAAAUUCAUACCAGUAGUCGUAGUCGUCUAGAACAUCAUGCUCUAGUAAUGGAUUACCUUUUAGCAACAGUAAUAGC